UACGGGGGGGGCAAGCGUUGUUCGGAAUUACUGGGCGUAAAGGGCUCGUAGGCGGCCAACUAAGUCGGACGUGAAAUACCUCGGCUCAACCGGGGAACUGCGUCCGAUACUGGAUGGCUUGAAUCCGGGAGAGGGAUGCGGAAUUCCAGGUGUAGCGGUGAAAUGCGUAGAUAUCUGGAGGAACACCGGUGGCGAAGGCGGCAUCCUGGACCGGCAUUGACGCUGAGGAGCGAAAGCCAGGGGAGCAAACGGG
rnacentral:rRNA from 1 species